ACCCGCUGAACUUAAGCAUAUCAAUAAGCGGAGGAAAAGAAACUAACAAGGAUUCCCCUAGUAACGGCGAGUGAAGCGGGAUGAGCUCAAAUUUGUAAUCUGGUGGACUCAGUUCAUCCGAGUUGUAAUCUAUAGAAGUGUUUUCCGCGCUGGACCGUGUCUAAGUCCCUUGGAACAGGGUGUCAGAGAGGGUGAGAAUCCCGUGCUUGAUACGAUCACCAGUGCUAUGUGAUACACUUUCAACGAGUCGAGUUGUUUGGGAAUGCAGCUCAAAAUGGGUGGUAAAUUCCAUCUAAAGCUAAAUAUUGGCGAGAGACCGAUAGCGAACAAGUACCGUGAGGGAAAGAUGAAAAGCACUUUGGAAAGAGAGUUAAACAGUACGUGAAAUUGUUAAAAGGGAAACGAUUGAAGUCAGUCGUGCUCUCUGGGACUCAGCCGGUUCUUCCGGUGUACUUCCCAGUGAGCGGGUCAACAUCAGUUUAGAUCGCUGGAUAAAGGUAUUAGGAAGGUGGCUCCCUCGGGAGUGUUAUAGCCUAGUAUCGCAUACAGUGGUUUAGACUGAGGAACGCAGCUCGCCUUUAUGGCCGGGGUUCGCCCACGUCCGAGCUUAGGAUGUUGACAUAAUGGCUUUAAACGACCCGUCUUGAAACACGG
rnacentral:rRNA from 1 species